GAUGAACGCUAGCGACAGGCUUAACACAUGCAAGUCGAGGGGCAGCACGGGAGUAGCAAUACAACUGGUGGCGACCGGCGCACGGGUGAGUAACGCGUAUGCAACCUACCUAUCAGAGGGGGAUAACCCGGAGAAAUUCGGACUAAUACCGCAUAAUACCACGAGACUGCAUGGUUUUGUGGUUAAACAUUUAUGGCUUACAGAUGGGCAUGCGUAUGAUUAGAUAGUUGGUAGGGUAACGGCCUACCAAGUCUACGAUCAUUAGGGGUUCUGAGAGGAAGGUCCCCCACAUUGGUACUGAGACACGGACCAAACUCCUACGGGAGGCAGCAGUGAGGAAUAUUGGUCAAUGGGCGAGAGCCUGAACCAGCCAAGUAGCGUGAAGGAUGAAGGUCCUAUGGAUUGUAAACUUCUUUUAUAGUAGAAUAAAGUGAGCCACGUGUGGUUUUUGUAUGUAUACUAUGAAUAAGGAUCGGCUAACUCCGUGCCAGCAGCCGCGGUAA
rnacentral:rRNA from 1 species